CAAAAGCUUGGUCCUGACUUUACUAUCAACUUUAGCUAAACUUACACAUGCAAGUAUCCGCACCCCUGUGAGAAUGCCCCACAGUCCCCUGCCCGGGAACAAGGAGCUGGUAUCAGGCACAAUUACACCCAGCCCAUGACACCUUGCUUAGCCACACCCUCAAGGGAACUCAGCAGUGAUAGACAUUAAGCUAUAAGUGAAAACUUGACUUAGUCAAAGCUAAGAGGGUCGGUAAAACUCGUGCCAGCCACCGCGGUUAUACGAGAGACCCAAGUUGAUAGACGCCGGCGUAAAGAGUGGUUAAGAUAGACUGAAACUAAAGCCGAACACCCUCAGAGCUGUCAUACGCACCCGAAGGUAAGAAGUCCAAUCACGAAAGUGGCUUUAUGUCGCCUGAACCCACGAAAGCUAUGAUACAAACUAGGAUUAGAUACCCUAUUA
rnacentral:rRNA from 1 species